AGCUUUAUAGUCAAUUAUUAUGAUACUAGACUGCAAUUCUAGAGUAGAUAUUUAUCUAAAGCUU
rnacentral:tRNA from 1 species